UCCUUCUCCGACUCCAUCAACAUUCUGUUGUUCUGAGCUUGGCUUGAGGCCAAUGGGUGAGCUGGCGGGCAUCCUAGGUAAACAAAGGCAGCUGGACAGAAGAAAGUCUUUAGGGGUGGGAGGGUGGACCCAAUCAGAAGCCCUCUCCACGAGGGCUGUGAGAGCUUAUAUGGGGUUCCUGCCCUGAGAGCCCUGGAACAUGGUAGGACGGGAGGGUGCCGGUAGAGGUUGGGCCUUCUCCAGGCUAGGCCCUGCCCCGGGGAGGGAAGCUGCCUGGGUUCAAGUCCCAGCUCUGAAACUUACCAGCUGUGUGACUUUGGGCAAAUUUCUUAACCUCUCUAUGCCUCAGUUUUUUGAUCUAUAAAAUGAAGGCAGUAAAUAACUCAUUGCAUGUAAAGGAUUUCUGACCUGCAGUCAAUGUUGGCUGUUAGGAGGAUGAUGUGCCGAGAGACAGCUAGCUGGUGACUCACUGAUACAAUUAUCAAGCCACCCAGCCAGCACCAGGUUGUAGCGUCCAAGGAACAGAAGGAUUCGGCACCCAGAACACGUGAUGUCAUGUUUUUAUUUUGAUUUAUUUUUUAUGUGCAUGUCAUGUCUUUCUACAUGACUUCCCAAGGGUGGGGACUGUCCCCAUCAUCUAUUCAUUCAACAGAUACUCAUGAGUGCUUCGAUGGUGGGGAAUGAGAUGAAUGACCAAGUCUGCACAUCCACGGAAUCGCAGUCUAGACCUGCUUCAUCCAGUACUAGCCAGACUGGCUACCGAGCACUUGAAAUGCAGCUAGUUCAAAUUGAGACCUGCUGUCAGUAUAAAACACACACCACAUUUCAAAGAUUGAGUACAAAAAUAAGAAGGUCAAAUACCUUACUAAUUCUUAUAUUGAUUACAUGUUGAAAUAAUGUUUUGGAUAUAUUGGAUUAAAUAAAAUACAUUAUUAAAGCUAAUUCCACCUAUGGCUUUUUUACUGUUUUCAAUGUG
rnacentral:lncRNA from 1 species